AUUGAACGCUGGCGGCAGGCCUAACACGUGCAAGUCGAACGGUAACAGGAAACAGCUUGCUGUUUCGCUGACGAGUGGCGGACGGGUGAGUAAUGUCUGGGAAACUGCCUGAUGGAGGGGGAUAACUACUGGAAACGGUAGCUAAUACCGCAUAACGUCGCAAGACCAAAGAGGGGGACCCUCGGGCCUCUUGCCAUCGGAUGUGCCCAGAUGGGAUUAGCUUGUUGGUGGGGUAACGGCUCACCAAGGCGACGAUCCCUAGCUGGUCUGAGAGGAUGACCAGCCACACUGGAACUGAGACACGGUCCAGACUCCUACGGGAGGCAGCAGUGGGAAUAUUGCACAAUGGGCGCAAGCCUGAUGCAGCCAUGCCGCGUGUAUGAAGAAGGCCUUCGGGUUGUAAAGUACUUUCAGCGGGGAGGAAGGGAGUAAAGUUAAUACCUUUGCUCAUUGACGUUACCCGCAGAAGAAGCACCGGCUAACUCCGUG
rnacentral:rRNA from 1 species